CCCGCGGCGCCCCGGAGGGUCUUGCUGCUUUGUGCGUAAAGGCUGCUUGGAGUGCGGGUUUCCCCGUUUUUUCCAGUCAGAGCUCAGUUUCUCAGCUACCCGUCGCUUAGUCGCUAUCGGAUCGCUUAAAAGCUCCAGAUCAAAUAAUCAUGUUUCCAGCUGGAUGGAAAUUCAGAAAAUCAGGAGCCUCUUAGUGAAAGAUGGUGGUUGUAUCCAGUCUAACCCCAAGCUGACCUUCCCACUAGAGGAAGAGGAAAUGGGUUCAAGUGGAACACACUGACACCCAGCUCAGAUGCUCACAUACCCCAGAGUAGAAGCCUUUUCAAAUAGCUCGAUAAUUCCAUCUGGACCAGUACUGAGGAUAAACGCUGCUGGGAAUCCCCCAAUCACUGAGAUGCAUUGGAAAGUUCUGCACCCCAUUACAGUCCUGUCCACUCAUUCCCACACUCAAAUCCAGAUAGGCUCAACUGGAUUGGAGAAGUUAAGAAAUAAAAUAUAAAAG